AAGCGCUUAUGACCAGACUUUUGUCUUGCGGAUCAUCCGGUGUUCUCACCGGUGCACUUCGCUUGAUUUAGGCCAACAUCGGUUUUCGUAGAGGGAUAAAGGCUUUGGGAAUGUAGCUCUUCGGAGUGUUAUAGCCCUUUGCGUAAUACCUUUAUGAGGACCGAGGUUCGCGCUCUGCAAGGAUGUUGGCAUAAUGGUCAUCAGCGA
rnacentral:rRNA from 1 species